rnacentral:lncRNA from 1 species
UUGUCUUACUUGUUUGUUGUGGUCAUGGAGCGUUUGUCCUUUGAUUUUGUGGCUGCAAAAGCAUGUUUAUGCACUCCUGGUGCCCCUUAUGAUCCUCAUCAGUGGUGAUAAAACUCAAAGUUUCAUAAAUGGAAUUAUGGGAGAUAUCUUUUUAAUAGCAAGGAUCUGUGUCUUAAUAUUUGUAAAAUUUUCAUUCAAACUUAGCAAGAAAACAAUAAUUUUGUCUUGUUCCUCCUUCUCACGAAUUUUCUUUGUAAAAUCGCAUGUACUUGUUGCACACACACAAGUAGG